AUUUUUCGACCAAGUUAAAUGGUAAAAUAGUUUAGAUUGAUUGUUCAUGGUAGUACGAACAAUAAAAACAAAUACUAAUUGCCGGAAAGCCCCGAAAAUGUGAUUUUCCGACUUUUGAUUUUCGAUGCACGAGCAUCGUAAGAUGACCGACAUCGAAAGCAUAGUCACUACCAUGCUUUGCUAAAAUGUCAGUGCAUCGUAGUUCGAUGCCUGUCCUGUCAGCCAUAUUGCUGCCGCGACACCAUGGACACAAACCAACCCUGUUAGACUGAAGUCCCGCGGUCGUGCGAUUUGAAGCGUUAUCUGCUCGAAGUCGAUUGAGUCCUGCCAUUUUCGAGCGUUUGUCGUGCGUUUUGAUGGUUUUGAUCGAAUGUCAGAGAAGCGACAUCUAGUGCGUGCAAAAUUCUCAGCAGGCAUUGAAAAAAAAAAUAUGAUAGAUACGGUUUCCAAGUUUCUCAAUCCAGUGAAAAAAAAGUUAAUAAUCAAAAAAAAGUUAAUUAUUGUGAAAAUUAUGUUCCAGAUUCAGGAGCAUGGCGGGCUUUACCAGACAUACAAAUGAAAGAGAUAGAGAUGAAACAUGCUGGCUUCGGCACAUGGGACAAUGGCAAUGGCAACAAUGGCCGCUAAGAACAAACCAAAGAUGAGUUCCGAAUUCAGCAAGAACACCAAGAAACUCAAAAACCACCCUUGCAAAAGUGUGAAAUACAAUUGUUUGUACCUAUUACACUCACCCCGUUUGACAAGAAUAAUAAAAAGUACAAGUUUGC